CCCAGACUCCUACGGGAGGCAGCAGUGGGGAAUAUUGCACAAUGGGGGAAACCCUGAUGCAGCGACGCCGCGUGAGUGAAGAAGUAAUUCGUUAUGUAAAGCUCUAUCAGCAGGGAAGAAACAGACAGUACCUGAGUAAGAAGCCCCGGCUAACUACGUGCCAGCAGCCGCGGUAAUACGUAGGGGGCAAGCGUUAUCCGGAUUUACUGGGUGUAAAGGGAGCGUAGACGGAUGGAUAAGUCUGAAGUGAAAGCCCGCGGCUCAACUGCGGGACUGCUUUGGAAACUGUGCAUCUUGAGUACGGGAGGGGCAGGCGGAAUUCCUGGUGUAGCGGUGAAAUGCGUAGAUAUUAGGAAGAACACCAGUGGCGAAGGCGGCUUUCUGGACUGAAACUGACGCUGAGGCGCGAAAGCGUGGGGAGCGAACAGGAUUAGAUACCCCUGUA
rnacentral:rRNA from 1 species